rnacentral:rRNA from 1 species
UACGAAGGGUGCAAGCGUUACUCGGAAUUACUGGGCGUAAAGCGUGCGUAGGUGGUUCGUUAAGUCUGAUGUGAAAGCCCUGGGCCCAACCUGGGAACGGCAUUGGAAACUGGCUUACUAGAGUGCGGUAGAGGGGUGUGGAAUUCCCGGUGUAGCAGUGAAAUGCGUAGAUAUCGGGAGGAACAUCUGUGGCGAAGGCGACACCCUGGACCAGCACUGACACUGAGGCACGAAAGCGUGGGGAGCAAACAGG